rnacentral:rRNA from 1 species
UACGAGGGGGGCAAGCGUUGUUCGGAUUUAUUGGGCGUAAAGGGUGCGUAGGCGGUUUGGCAAGUCUUGUGUGAAAUCUUUGGGCUCAACCCAAAGCCUGCACGAGAAACUGCCGGGCUUGAGUAUGGGAGAGGUGAGUGGAAUUUCCGGUGUAGCGGUGAAAUGCGUAGAUAUCAGGAGGAACACCGGUGGUGUAAACGGCUUUCUGGGCCAUAACUGACGCUGAGGCACGAAAGCGUGGGUAGCAAACAGG